rnacentral:rRNA from 1 species
AUUGAACGCUGGCGGCAGGCCUAACACAUGCAAGUCGAGCGGAUGAAGGGAGCUUGCUCCUGGAUUCAGCGGCGGACGGGUGAGUAAUGCCUAGGAAUCUGCCUGGUAGUGGGGGAUAACGUCCGGAAACGGGCGCUAAUACCGCAUACGUCCUGAGGGAGAAAGUGGGGGAUCUUCGGACCUCACGCUAUCAGAUGAGCCUAGGUCGGAUUAGCUAGUUGGUGGGGUAAAGGCCUACCAAGCCGACGAUCCGUAACUGGUCUGAUAGGAUGAUCAGUCACACUGGAACUGAGACACGGACCAGACUCCUACGGGAGGCAGCAGUGGGGAAUGUGGGACAGUGGGGGAGAGCCUGAUCCAGCCAGGCCGCGUGUGUGAAAAAGGUCUUCGGAUUGUAAAGCACUUUAAGUUGGGAGGAAGGGCAGUAAGUUGAUACCUUGCUGUUUUGACGUUACCAACAGAAUAAGCACCGGCUAACUUCGUG